CCCCCCUUGCUGCAUGGUGCUCCCUCUCCCCUCCGUGAUGGACCCAGUGCUGACCGUGCUUGGGGGAAGAUGAGGCCUGGACUGAGGUGAUCGGUACCCUCACAGCGAUUGCCGUCAGGUUUGAGAUGCUGAGCACUGCUCACCGCAGUCAGAUCACCCUGGACCUGGAGGACAGCAGCAUCUUCACCAAGGGAACCAAGAGCGGUGCCUUUGUGAUGUACAACUGUGCCCGGCUGGCCACGCUCUUCAACACCUUCCAGCAGGCUGUGGAGCAGGGUGAGCACCACCUGCAGCCCUCAUGGCCACUGAGGGGCUGUUCCUCACACCUGGAGCCACAGG